GUUGUUUGAAUGAGGAAGUGAGUGCGUAUGACGUUUUCUGAAAUUGGGUUUUUGUGUCAUUGUGUCUUCUUUUUACAGGAAGGAGACAAAAAGCCGGGAAUGGAGCCAAAAGAAACCAGGACUGAUGUGAUGGAAAGUAUCCCACAAGAGCCACCAAAUCUUGACCAUUUUACCUCUGUUGAUGGAGCACACAGAGAGAAUAGAAGUGGUGUGUUGUCAGCGUCAGGAUUAGAGGAGGAAGAUAUUGCAUCAUCUUUGGAUACUGAGUGUGCCUCUGAGAGUCUUUCACAGAAGUACGUUGAUCAUUUAUCUGGAACUUCAGGUCAAAGAGGUAAAAAUAGAGUAAAUGGAGAAGUCGAAGGUAAGAAUGUUAUUUUUUUAAGUCGAAUUACAUAUGAUAAAACAGGAAUUCUGAUAUUUUUUUUUUCUCCAAACAUUAUUCUUUGUUGGUCAUUUAUGACUUCCUUGCUUUAGGUGUGAAUUUUAAUUUAUCUGAGUUUUUUUUUAUUCCCCCAAUACAUUAUUUUUUUUCCUACUUAACAGCAUGGUGACCCAGUUACACAUACAUGUAUACAUGCUUUUUCUCACAUUAUCAUGCCCCAUCAUAAGUGAUUAGACAUAGUUCCCAUUUCUACACAGCAGGAUCUCAUUGCUAAUCCAUUCCAAAGGCAAUAGUCUGUAUCUAUUAACUCCAAACUCCCAAUCCAUAUCACUCCCUCCCCUCCACCUGGGAACCAGAAGUCUAUUCUCCAAGUCCAUGAUUUUCUUUUCUAGGGAAAGGUUCAUUUGUGCCAUACGUUAGAUUCCAGAUAUAAGUGAUAUCCUGUGGUAUUUCUCUUUCUCUUUCUGAGUAACUUCACUCAGUAUGAGAGUCUCUAGUUCCAUUCAUGUUGUGACAAAUGGCAUUAUUUUGUUCUUUCUUAUGGAUCUGUCGUGUUCCAUUGUGUAGAUACAUGACAUCCAAGCAAAAAGAAAGAAAAUGCUAAAAUGUAUUUAUUUGUUUUUUGACUGCACCUGCAACAUGAGGAAGUUCCCAGGCCUGGGAUUGGCCCUGAGACACUGCAGUGACAAAGACAAAUCCUCAACCUCUGGGCCACCAGGGAGCUCCCAGAUAUAUUCUCCUAGCCAAUGGAAGGCACCUGUUGAAUGCACAGGGAGGAAACCGAUGAGAAAGGAAGGAACCUGUGUGGCACGUUGGGUGUCAGCAACCGUUUAAACCACAAGUCCCCUUGAAGUAGCGAAAUGAUUCAUUAGUUCCAUUUCAGGAUGCUCUACAACCUAAGGAAAGUCAGGAGACAGGGAAGCGGAGAAGAAGAACGAAGGAUGAGAGAGGCAGAGACUACAGGGUGUGAAUGAAGGAAGAGGAAGCAGGGUGCUGUGGUGUGAAGGUGGCAGAGUACAAUGGUUCCUUAGAAAAAGGAGGGAGGAGGGUCUGAACUGUGAGAUGGAUAUCCAGCAGCAGAACUUGUCGGCG
rnacentral:lncRNA from 1 species